CAUGUCGCGAUAGCAUGUGCGACUCAAAAUCGAGUGGGAAACCGUGGAGGUUCGAGUCCUCUCGCCGGUACCA
rnacentral:tRNA from 1 species